CCUUUCGUAGCUCAAUGGCUAGAGCCGCGCGUUGUGGUCGCGCUGAUCCCGGUUCGACUCCGGGCGGAGGGAC
rnacentral:tRNA from 1 species